AGAAGCCGGCUCCUGCUUCUGCUUCUUCGUUUCGGGGACUUCCCUUUUCUCAGUAUUUCUAAAACCUUCCUCCUUUACCCACUUUUGCCAGGCCUCCUCCAGAAUGUCCGUCUUAGGGCCUAGGACUUUCCUCCUUCCGCCAUACCCGUGCGACCCCCAUUUCACCGUUCCAGUUCUAAACACUCCUCCUGAGUGCUUACCAGAGAGCUCCGGCACGUCGUCUUCCCGAGGCCCCCUGCACCUCAACUGCAGGUAGAAUCCGCGGCUUCCCCCGGCCCCGAGCCCUGCGCGUCCCCUGUCACGGGAUCUCCGGCACCCCAGUGCCCAGCACCCACCCCAGCACCCAGCCCAGCACCCAUGCAGCACCCAGCCUGGCUCGGCCCCAGCUCCGGGGCUGACAGCAGCAGCAGCAGCAAGGGGAGAAGCAGAAGGCAGCGGGGCGCGAGCUCGAUCAGCGA